rnacentral:lncRNA from 1 species
UUUAGUGUCACAAUAACAUCAUACAAUUAAUACAGUUACAUUCCCUUGUUCAAAGUGUUUUAUAACAAUAUAUGAUUUCUUUGGCUCUAGUGAUAUUUAAACUUUACUAUUGAAUUGGUGAAUUUUAAGCCAUACAGAGACUUCUUCAAUAGGCAGACCUUUUGUCAAAAUUUCCUACAGGUGAUUAUUCCACAUAAACUUCCUUCUAGGUCUAAACAUGGAAAAUUAUUUUUUAC